rnacentral:rRNA from 1 species
AGAGUUUGAUCCUGGCUCAGGACGAACGCUGGCGGCGUGCCUAAUACAUGCAAGUAGAACGCUGAAGAGAGGAGCUUGCUCUUCUUGGAUGAGUUGCGAACGGGUGAGUAACGCGUAGGUAACCUGCCUUGUAGCGGGGGAUAACUAUUGGAAACGAUAGCUAAUACCGCAUAACAAUGGAUGACCCAUGUCAUUUAUUUGAAAGGGGCAAAUGCUCCACUACAAGAUGGACCUGCGUUGUAUUAGCUAGUAGGUGAGGUAACGGCUCACCUAGGCGACGAUACAUAGCCGACCUGAGAGGGUGAUCGGCCACACUGGGACUGAGACACGGCCCAGACUCCUACGGGAGGCAGCAGUAGGGAAUCUUCGGCAAUGGGGGCAACCCUGACCGAGCAACGCCGCGUGAGUGAAGAAGGUUUUCGGAUCGUAAAGCUCUGUUGUAAGUCAAGAACGAGUGUGAGAGUGGAAAGUUCACACUGUGACGGUAGCUUACCAGAAAGGGACGGCUAACUACGUGCCAGCAGCCGCGGUAAUACGUAGGUCCCGAGCGUUGUCCGGAUUUAUUGGGCGUAAAGCGAGCGCAGGCGGUUUGAUAAGUCUGAAGUUAAAGGCUGUGGCUCAACCAUAGUUCGCUUUGGAAACUGUCAAACUUGAGUGCAGAAGGGGAGAGUGGAAUUCCAUGUGUAGCGGUGAAAUGCGUAGAUAUAUGGAGGAACACCGGUGGCGAAAGCGGCUCUCUGGUCUGUAACUGACGCUGAGGCUCGAAAGCGUGGGGAGCGAACAGGAUUAGAUACCCUGGUAGUCCACGCCGUAAACGGUGGAUGCUGGAUGUGGGGCCCGUUCCACGGGUUCCGUGUCGGAGCUAACGCGUUAAGCAUCCCGCCUGGGGAGUACGGCCGCAAGGCUAAAACUCAAAGAAAUUGACGGGGGCCCGCACAAGCGGCGGAGCAUGCGGAUUAAUUCGAUGCAACGCGAAGAACCUUACCUGGGCUUGACAUGUUCCCGACAGCCGUAGAGAUAUGGCCUCCCUUCGGGGCGGGUUCACAGGUGGUGCAUGGUCGUCGUCAGCUCGUGUCGUGAGAUGUUGGGUUAAGUCCCGCAACGAGCGCAACCCUCGCCCUGUGUUGCCAGCACGUCAUGGUGGGAACUCACGGGGGACCGCCGGGGUCAACUCGGAGGAAGGUGGGGAUGACGUCAGAUCAUCAUGCCCCUUACGUCCAGGGCUUCACGCAUGCUACAAUGGCCGGUACAACGGGAUGCGACACGGCGACGUGGAGCGGAUCCCUGAAAACCGGUCUCAGUUCGGAUUGGAGUCUGCAACCCGACUCCAUGAAGGCGGAGUCGCUAGUAAUCGCGGAUCAGCAACGCCGCGGUGAAUGCGUUCCCGGGCCUUGUACACACCGCCCGUCAAGUCAUGAAAGUGGGUAGCACCCGAAGCCGGUGGCCUAACCCUUUGUGGAUGGAGCCGUCUAAGGUGAGACUCGUGAUUGGGACUAAGUCGUAACAAGGUAGCCGUACCGGAAGGUGCGGCUG